ACACAGCAUGGACAUGAGGCUCCCUGCUCAGCUCCUGGGGUUCCUGCUCCUUUGGCUCCCAGGAGUGAGAUGUGACAUCCAGAUGACGCAGACUCCAUCCUCCCUGUCGGCAUCUCCUGGAGACUCAGUCACCAUCAGGUGCCGGGCCAGUCGGAAUAUUGGCACUGAGUUAGACUGGUAUCAGCAGAAACCAGGGCGAGCGCCGACACUCCUGAUCUACCAGGUAUCCAACUUGCAUUCCGGGGUCCCCUCGAGGUUCAGCGGCAGUGGGUCUGGGACAGACUUCAGUCUCACCAUCAACAGCCUGCAGCCUGAAGAUUUUGCCACAUAUUACUGUCAGCAAGAUUAUGGUACCCCUCCCACAGUGACACGAGCCAUGACAAAAACCAUCGAAGGAAGCAGAAGU